GCCACUGGGAUACCGUUUGUUGAUUCGAGAAAAAGUCAGUCUGUUAGCCGUUUGUCAGUUCGGGAGAGAAACUGGUCUGUAUUUUGGUGUGAGGGUUUUAAAGAAUAAACCCUAGUGUGAUUGCCGUUUGUCAGUUCGGGAUGAAAACUGGUCCGUGUGCCGUUUGACAGUUAACGGGAGAAAAACUGUGUAAUCCGUUUCUUGCAGUUCGAGAGAAAAACUUGCUGUUUCCUGUUUCGGCGGUUCAAGAUAAAAACCGACCAGUGUGGGUGAUAUUUGGAUCCAAGAGUUGUGUUGUGUAUUAAAUAAUUAAAUAAUUAAAUAAUGGACGGAGAAUUUGAUCGUGAGAUAGAUUGGUUUGAUCUGAAUGAUGUUGGGAAAUCGGAAAACAAUGCCUCGUUUGGUCAGCAAGUGGAGGCUGCGAUUUGUAAGAUAGGCGUAGUGAAUGGACAUCCGAAGGACAGAGAAAAGAGGGAGAGGAAGCUGAGAGAGUGGGUGGAGGGGAGUGUGAAGUCUGGGUUUCUUCCACCGCUGUGGAAAGCUGUUGACUUGUAUGAUUUAAUGCGUAAGGUGGAGGAGUCGUGUUUGAAGAAGAAAAAGGCUUUGGGAGACGGCAGAAAGACAGGAUUGCUGGGGAAUGCUCGUAAAACAGAUAGUGCGCUGCGGAAGAUUGAUGAGUGGCUGGAAGCUUCACGAUGCAUGGCAAUGGGACAUUGCGCCGCGCAGCGAGCGAAGGGCGGUGCCCGCCCGUCCAGUGGGGAGGAAGUUUCCUCUUCGAGCGCUGGCGAGAGACAGGAAGCGACUCUUCCUCUGACGGAGACUAAGACUGAGGGCGUGCCUUCACCUGUGACUGAGAACCAGCCCACGACGCCUACUUUGUAUCCACUCCUCCCACUGACAACUCCUCCUGGAGACUAUCUGACUCCACCUGGUGGUAAGAUGCAGCCACCACCCUAUAUUCCUGUGACAGCUCCAUUCUCACCACAUAAUCCAUUUGUUUCCACACCAGAACCCACUCUGCAGCUUCCAGUCCUGCACAUAAAAAAAGGAAUAUUAGAGGGUCAUUGGACUAAUGAUGAGGGAUUAUGUGAAGUAACAGUAACC
rnacentral:lncRNA from 1 species